AAUGAACGCUGGCGGCAGGCCUAACACAUGCAAGUCGAACGGAUCCUUCGGGAUUAGUGGCGGACGGGUGAGUAACGCGUGGGAACAUACCCAAAGGUACGGAAUAGCCUCGGGAAACUGGGAGUAAUACCGUAUGUGCUCGAAAGAGGAAAGAUUUAUCGCCUUUGGAUUGGCCCGCGUUGGAUUAGGUAGUUGGUGGGGUAAUGGCCUACCAAGCCGACGAUCCAUAGCUGGUUUGAGAGGAUGAUCAGCCACACUGGGGCUGAGACACGGCCCAGACACCUACGGGAGGCAGCAGUGGGGAAUCUUGGACAAUGGGGGAAACCCUGAUCUAGCCAUGCCGCGUGAUCGAUGAAGGCCUUAGGGUUGUAAGGCUCUUUCAGCGAGGAGGAUAAUGACGUUACUCGCAGAAGAAGCCCCGGCUAACUCCGUGCCAGCCGCCGCCGUAA
rnacentral:rRNA from 1 species